rnacentral:lncRNA from 1 species
UCUACUGGGUAUGCUCUUCCUAAAGUACCCAGUGUGUGGUCAGCCUACAUACUGCAAGGACAUACUGUUAACAUAUUUAGCGUAUUUAUCAAAUGUUAUUUCCUUACCUGUAUUAACUCACAGGGUUAUUCUGUCCUGGAUGUAGAACUUUCUACCUUUGUUGAAACAUGCAGUGCUUCUCCUGGACCAUCUCUCUGGCUUUCCAAAGUUUCUUUCCUCAGAAACAGAGCCCUGACCUGCAUAUUGACACUACCCUGGUGCUGUGCCAGCUCUGGUUCAGCUAAAUCUCCAGUACUGGAGACUUCCAACUGAUCUUGAGCUCUGUGCUGACAUAAUACAGCCUUCAGGUAACUGUCAAAUUCUUUAGAGACUUGUAUAUAUUUUUAAAAUGUGUUUUAUGGCUUAAGUGGCUAACUAUACAGAUUUUUAUAGGAGUACAUGUGUGUAUAGCCAGGUUAGUCUAUUAUAGAAUAUAUUGAACUAAAGUUUUAUGUACAUAUAUUGACUUGGAAGUAAUAAAGUAAUACAUUCAAGUUUCUCUUCA